CGCCUCUUGUAAACCCACAAAUAAGAGGUCCCGCCUGCCCUGUGACUAUAUGUUUAACGGCCGCGGUAUUUUAACCGUGCGAAGGUAGCGCAAUCACUUGUCCUUUAAAUGAAGACCUGUAUGAAUGGCACGACGAGGGCUAACUGUCUCCUCCUUCCAGUCAAUGAAAUUGAUCUCCCCGUGCAGAAGCGGGGAUACGCACAUAAGACGAGAAGACCCUAUGGAGCUUUAGACACUAAGGCAGACCAUGUUAAACACCCCUAGAAAAAGGACUAAACUAAAUGGCACCUCCCAGAUGUCUUUGGUUGGGGCGACCACGGGGAACACAAAACCCCCGCAUGGAUUGGACACACCACCUUCUACAACUAAGAGCUUCCACUCUAAUGAACAGAACUUCUGACCUACAUGAUCCGGCAACGCCGAUCAACGGACCGAGUUACCCUAGGGAUAACAGCGCAAUCCCCUUCUAGAGCCCAUAUCGACAAGGGGGUUUACGACCUCGAUGUUGGAUCAGGACAUCCUAAUGGUGCAACCGCUAUUAAGGGUUCGUUUGUUCAACGAUUAAAGUCCU
rnacentral:rRNA from 1 species